rnacentral:lncRNA from 1 species
CUUAUCACUAUGAAUUAAUUCUUAAACCCUUCAUUUUCCUUCCUAACUUUCACCCACUUUGAAUCAAAUCCCCUUUAUUCUUCUCAUGGGGUGGUUUCAUAUUCAUUCCAUUUUUUCCCCAUUGAAGAAACUCUGGCGCCGGCUCCGUGCUACCAAAAGAAACAGUAUUUUUUGAUCUAUUUCUAUCUUCUUAAUUCUACUUUUAAUUGUGUGUGUUCAUUUUUCUCAUGGUUGCUUCUUCAAUUCAUACUGUUUAUCUUUUAAGCAUGUGUUUGAUACGGUAUUAGAGGUGUAAAAUGUUCUAAACAAGCUUGUCUGUAUGGAUCUAGUUUGUACUUGUUCAUUUGUGUUCAGUCGAACAUACCAAUAUUGCCAUGAAUAUUAGAGUCCAAUUGAUUGCCAUUAUUUCAUAAUAUUGUAUAAAGUAUCUGUCUAAUUAAUUUAUUAUUAUUAUUAUUAUUAUUAUUAUUAUUAUUAUUAUUAUUAUUAUUAUUAUUAUUUAUUUUUUUAUUUUUUUUGUGUUCAGGUGGGGGAAUAUACCUACUGUAUGAAGAUGUGAAGUCAUGUUCUUGUGAAGACGUUCAAGCUUUAUGGACACUGCUGGUGGAUUCAGAUGCAAAGUUUGCAUAAAUUCACGAAUAUAUGGCCAUUGUCAAAAUGCCAAUACUAAAUAAGGAGAAUCAAUGAGAAUGUUUUCUUCACGUUUUAUAUUUUCUUUUUUAUUGUUUUUUAAUUAUUUUCAAGUACAUAUUGAAAUGGUGUAACGUGAUCAUACUCAACUAGACUGAUUAGUAUUUUUAGGAGUAAUGCUAUUUAAUCUCAUUGAAAUUGCAAUCCCAUUUUAAAUAGUGCUAAUGUAGCAUUAGUUGAUAGGUGAAAUUGAAUAAUUCAUUUAAUUUCAUAUUUCAUUUUAUAUAUAAUCUAAUGCCACCUAGAUCAGGAUUGCAACCCCG